AUAAUAUCCUCUAAGUGCCUUUCCCAGUUUCUGCCUACUUGUUCAGUCUAUUCACAAUUCAAAUCAUGAAAUACAAAUUUUUUUCUGGGGGCCAUGUCUUCAGUUACUGCUAUCCAGGAUUAAAGUCUGCUUUUAAAUUAUAACACACACAGUGUCAGGCAUAUGUAAGUCUAGCUACUGAGGAUGCAGAUGCAGGAGGAUCCCCAGAACACAAGAGUAUGGACCAAAAAAAAAAAAGAGAGAGAGAGAAAGCAAUUAAGACACUGAAAGACCUAAUCCAUUUGAACAUGUAUUUACAGAUAGAAACCAAGUUCAGAUACCAAGAACUUAGUGAAUAAGAGUCACUUCUUAAAUCUGUGAUAAUCAGGAGUUGUGGUGCACAUCUGUAAUCCCAGCACUUGGGAGGAUGAGGCAGGAGGAUCACUGUGAAUUUGAGGUCAGCCUGAGUUACAUAGUGAGACCUUGUCUCUAAAAUAAAACAACAUAAAAUAAAAUAAAGUAAAAUCUAUGAAGAAAAACUACAUUAAAAUUUUGAAGAUGUAAAUUAAGGAAUUAAGAAAAACAGCCUACAGGACUCAGCCAUUCUAAGAUACAGAUUCUUUAUCAAGGAACAGAGCAAAUGGCCUAUAAAUGGCGUAAUGAAAGUGACUGUGAUUUGCGACAAUUAAUGAAAAGCAAGAAUUCUCAUAUUUAAGAAACACAGUCAAUUGUACAGAAAAGGUAAAAAAUAAAUCUAAUCUAGAUACUCCAUUGGAGCUACAGGGCUACUCCCUUCCCUGAACCCCAACCGAACAAAUCCCUGAGGUCACAUGCCCUGUCUUGUCCUAGGGCUUACUACAAGGAGGAAGAGACAAGAAAAGCAAAGACCUUCCAACCCUGCCCUGGAAAAUUCCGGAAUCCCAAACAGUGACCUGUGCACAGCAAAUCCUCCGGUGCCUUCCAUUGUCAGCUGGUUCCACGUGAUAGGCAGAAAACAUGCUACAUACUUCUCAGGUGUGUGCAAAUCCUCACUGGAUGGCCAGUAAUACGGAGCUCACCAGGGAGACGGACUGUGCAACAGAGGUGAACAGCCCUGAAGCCCAGGCAUCCGGAGCACUAACAGCAGAAAGGGCACUGAAGCUCAGAGCCUGACCCAGUAGCAAAGCCUCCCGUGCUGGAUCUGAAAGAUAAUAUGCCUCAGCUGUCAACAACACCCUGCUUUCUAACCUGUUCUUAAUCCACCCCUCCAGGAUGAUUAUUUCAAACUUAACCCUGCACACAAGCAUCAGAACAGGUCUAAGUCAGCCUGGCAAAAUCCAGCAACAUCACGUUGACCCAACGGUUGCAUAAGAAAUAAAAAGCUUGGUUUCCUGUGCCGUGUGCUCCUUUGGUCACGGUUGUUUUGCUCCAUAUUGCUCCUUUUAUCAUUGUUAAUACAUGUGGCAAAACCAACCUUCAAACUUAAGUUGGAUCUCUUUGCUCAGCUAUUCUAUUGUGCUAUGAGGCAGGAAAGUCUUAUGCAGUUUUAUGGAAAAUGUGAUUUUCAACUUAAUAAACAAAUCUCAAAGGAACCAGAAAGGAAACUUUGGAUUCAUCACACGCAUCCUGUGUGUGCUUGAGAGACUCUGUUUGAUGGUGGCAAAUUUCCUUCUCAGAAACACCCUACACAAAGCUGAAAGUCCAGAAAUGUCUUCUGGACCAGCCUUGUGGUAAAGAGCUAAAGCCAAAUGAAGGACAAAUGAACUAAGAUGGACUUCCCAAGUGACAAAAUGAGAGAAUUCAAACAAAUGUACAACGAGGGUCAAACCUUGGAUUUCAAAACUCAAAUACAUAAUAAACACUUCACAGGGGAGAGGGGAAGGUCAGAACUGCCACAGAAUAUAACCUACUGAGUCAGAUAGAUUGACUUUCUAAGUGUAUGAUACAAUUCUGUCAGAACUGUAUGAAAUCUAAAUCUUUUCAUGCACACAGUCCCCAG
rnacentral:lncRNA from 1 species